CCUACGGGAGGCAGCAGUGGGGAAUAUUGCACAAUGGGCGAAAGCCUGACGCAGCGACGCCGCGUGAGGGAUGAAGGCCUUCGGAUUGUAAACCUCUGUCAGCAGGGAAGAACGGUGACUGUUCUAUUCAGCAGUGAAUUGACGGUACCUGCAAAGGAAGCACCGGCUAACUCCGUGCCAGCAGCCGCGGUAAUACGGAGGGUGCGAGCGUUAAUCGGAAUUACUGGGCGUAAAGCGCUCGUAGGCGGUAUGUCAAGUCAAGGGUGAAAUCCCCGCGCUCAACGUGGGAACUGCCUUUGAAACUGGCAAACUGGAGUGUGUGAGAGGAUGGUGGAAUUCCAGGUGUAGGAGUGAAAUGCGUAGAUAUCUGGAGGAACAUCAGUGGCGAAGGCGACUAUCUGGCACAUAACUGACGCUGAGGAGCGAAAGCGUGGGUAGCAAACAGGAUUAGAUACCCUUGUAGUC
rnacentral:rRNA from 1 species